rnacentral:rRNA from 1 species
GACGAACGCUGGCGGCGCGCUUAACACAUGCAAGUCGAACGGAAAGGCCUGCUUUCCCUUGUGGAUUGCGGGUACUCGAGUGGCGAACGGGUGAGUAACACGUGAGUGAUCUGCCCCCAACUUGGGUAUAAGCCUGGGAAACUGGGUCUAAUUCCCGAUAGGACUGCAGGGUGGUGCCUGUGGUGGAAAACGAUUUUCUAGUGGUUGGGGAUGAGCUCGCGGCCUAUCAGCUUGUUGGUGGGGUAAUGGCCUACCAAGGCGGCGACGGGUAGCCGGCCUGAGAGGGUGGACGGCCUCAUUGGGACUGAGAUACGGCCCAGACUCCUACGGGAGGCAGCAGUGGGGAAUAUUGCACAAUGGGCGGAAGCCUGAUGCAGCGACGCCGCGUGGGGGAUGACGGCCUUCGGGUUGCAAGCUCCUUUCGACCGCGAGGAAGCCACCUGGUUGGAAGGGUGGUGACGGUAGUGGUAGAAGAAGCACCGGCUAACUACGUG